rnacentral:rRNA from 1 species
UACGUAGGGGGCAAGCGUUGUCCGGAAUCAUUGGGCGUAAAGCGCGUGUAGGCGGCUCGGUAAGUCCGCUCUGAAAGUCCAGGGCUCAACCCUGGGAUGCGGGUGGAUACUGCCGGGCUCGAGUCCGGAAGAGGCGAGUGGAAUUCCCGGCGUAGCGGUGAAAUGCGCAGAUAUCGGGAGGAACACCAAUGGCGAAGGCAGCUCGCUGGGACGUGACUGACGCUGAGACGCGAAAGCGUGGGGAGCAAACAGG